ACACAUACGCAAGCGCGUUUUUGCAAAGUCAAGCUUACACAAAAAUCAAAGUUUUGCAGUCAAUACGAGCAACAUCAAUGCUAAGAAGCAUUCCCAAUUCCGACUGGCCGAGUUUUAACCAAUGCUCAAUCGGCUGUCUAAUAACUUUCACUGCCACCACAUUUUCAGCUGAUUGAAUUUACGCAAUUGUGCAAUACAGAGACAUCCAGCCAUUGCAAGCCAUUAUAUAUUUGACCAUAGAUGACUAUUUGACAAUCAACUGAUACUUGUUACUUGUAGUGUUGUACAAUGCACCCUGAGGCGGAUGCAAUAAGAUAAUGGAGAACGUACUUUUAUUCCGCUGAUUCUGAAGAACAAGACCAAUGAGCACAUAUGUAUGUAUUUGAAAUCACAGUGACGGCAUGUGCAAUAACAAGACGUUAGCAACGCCACUCAAGGAGAAAAAAAAACAUGAUUAGAUGACUGUAGACACAAUUAAUUGCACGUAUAACUAAAUAAAAUCUUCUAAAUAUUUCAUAAUAUACUUUCGUCAAUUUUACACUCAAUUAUUACUGUUGUU